ACAGAUCAAGAGAAGAAUGGGGAUUGGAGCAAGGUUAUCAGAGAGAAGACUUAUCGAGGAUUUGGCUAGAAUGGGAAUGAACGAUUCAAUGGUACCUAAUACAAAAUCAAUUGCUUAGUUUUAUUCCUCAUCACCAAUAAGUGAUGUGGAUUUUGACUGUGUGUGAAUGUUAAAAAUGGCAGGUGAGGAGGGCUCUGUUGAUAAUGCAUCAGAGAGGUGAAGUUGAGUACCAGCGAGAGAGACGUUCCAUUGUCCGCAAAGCUUGAUCUUCUUCUUCGCUCACUAUCUCUCUUCUUUAGUCUCUCAGGAUCUUCAAAAAGACAGUAUUCAGUAUUGUUAAGUUAAUUUGGAGGAACAGAAACUUACGUCAUGUGUAUUUGAUGAAGAUCCUUUAGUAAACUUUUAUGCCCUCUUGAAACUAUUGUUUU
rnacentral:lncRNA from 1 species